UCUUCCCUGACUCUCUCUCUUCUCUCUCGACAAUUUCUUCAUUCGGCGAUUUCUACGAUUUGUUGUUUUAAAAAAAAAAAAGCUUGGAGCUCUUCCUCCGGAUCAUUCUCGAAAUGGGUCUGUGUUAUUCAGUAGAUCGAACCACUGGGAAGGAAACAGGAGAAACCAGCACCACCGCCUCUGCGACGGAGACGGCUGACGAGAGAUUAGGCUCCAGACGGUGGCGGCGGCCGAGAUAUUUAAUGGGCGGCGGCGAAAUCGAACAGGUUUUGGGUCGCUUUGUUUCCAAUGGUUCUAGUAAGGUGGCAUUUCUUUACACUCAGCAAGGCAAGAAAGGGACUAACCAAGACGCCAUGCUUGUCUUUGAGAAACCAGAACUUCUGCUCGAGAGAUGAUACAGUUCAAAACUCUUCUUUUCUUGCAGUCCAUGAAGAGAAUCUGCAAAGGAGAAUAUAAUAAUGUUGAUCCACGUAACACAGAAUGCUUGAAACUCGUGGAAGAAUUUGAAAAGUGCAUUGAUAGAAUAAACGAAUCACAUAUAAUAGCGCCAGACUGUGAAGAGAAUCAAGAGACACCUCCUGAUUGCUAUGUAAUCCAACUUGCCUUCUCUCAACUCAAUUGAAAAUGACCUCAGAAUCGGAACAAAGCGGGUUAGUGAAGAAGAAUGAUUUGCACAUCAAAGGUACAGAGGAAGAAGAAGUGCAGAAAUCUGAGUCCGUUACUACUAUGGAUGAGCAAUGGUGUGAGCUAAAUCCAAAGUGGAUAAGAUACUCGCCGACGUGAAAGCUGAUAACGUUACGGUGGUUCCAACUCACAAUCACUGCUUCUGGGCCGAUUACAUGGUCGUCGCCACCGGAAGAUCCGAUUGGCACUUAAAAAAACAUCGCUCAAGCAUUAGUCUACAAGGCCAAGCAAAAGCAGAAAGGAGCAAAACAUAUAAUGCUGCCUUCUGUGCAAGGGUACGAUAGCAAGUGGGUUGUCAUAGACUACGGUUCGUG